rnacentral:lncRNA from 1 species
AAAUGUGACUCAAGAAAUCUCCAGUCAUUAGCUGAGCACUCUGCUUCAAUGAAUACACAUCAUAAGGAAUAAGGACUUUACAAAAUUAGUUCAGAAAAGUUAUUAAACAACAACAGACAGUGACCAUAAUCCCUGGGAAUGGAGAACUAAUUCCCAGGGUUGGUGAAUUACAUGAUUCAAAAUGUCCAAUUUUCAAUAACAUGCAAAGGAACAAAGUAUGGCUUAUAGCCAAAGGAAAACUCAAUCAAUAGAAACUGCUCAUGAGAAAUGACAAAUAUUAAACUUAUUGGGCAAAGACUUCAGCUAUUUUAAAUAUAUUCAAAUAUAUUUUAAGUAUAUUCUUUUAAGAACCACAUUUUUAAAACUAAAGGAAAGUGAAAACUAUGUCUUACCAAAUAGAGAAUAUCAAGAAAAAAGUGGUUAAAAAGGAAUGAAAUCAAAAUUCUGGAAAGCUGUAUUGAAUAAUUUCAGUUACUGAAAUCAAAAUGUGGAGAUUUGGGUUAAGAAAGUUAAAGAAUCAAUGAACUUGAAAACAGGUCAACAAUAUUCAGUCUGAGGAACAAGGAAUGUGGGAAUGUAAAAUGGUGCAGUCACUUUGGAAAACAAUUUGGCAGUUUCUAACAAAACUAAACAUAAUCUACCAUAAAAUCCAGCAAUUAAGCUCCUCAAUAUUUGACCAAAGGUGUCAAAAAUGUAGGUACACAUAAAAAUCUGCACACAAAUUUUAUAGAGGUCCUAUUUGUAAUUCCACAAACUUGAAGGCAAUCAAAAUGUCCUUUAGUAGAUGAAUGGAUAAAUAAACUGUAGUGUAUACAUUCAGUGCUAAAAAGAAAUGAGCUAUCAAGCCAUGAAAAGGCAUGGACGAACCUUAAAUAUAUUACUAAGGAAGGAAGCCAAUAUUAAAAGGUUACAUAUUGUAGUCUUUCAACUAUAUGACCUAGGGAAGGGAAAACUAAAAAGAUCAGUGUUUGCCAAGGGUUAGGGAGCAAGAGGGAUGAAUAGGCAGAGCACAGAGGAUUUUUAGGACAAAGUAUUCUAUAUGAUACAAUAAUGGUGAAUACAGGUCACUAUACAUGUGUCAAAAUCCAUAGAAUGUACAACACCCAGGGUGAACCCAAAUAGAAACUAAGGUCUCUGGGUGAUAAAGAGGUGUCAGUGCAGGUCCUUCAGUGGUAAAAAAUUUACUACUCUGUUGAGAGAUGUUGAUAAUGGGAAAAGCUAUAAAUGUGUGGGGACAGAGCAUAUAUGGGAAAUCUCUGUACUCACUGCUCAACUUUUCUGUGAACUUAAAAUUACUCUAGAAAAAUGAAGUCUGUUUUUUAUUUUUUAAAAAAGGUCUCAUGGUGGCAAUGUAACUUUUUUUUUUUUUCCUGUCUUUUUAGGGUCACACCCACAGUAUAUGGAGGUUCCCAGGCUAGAGGUUGAAUCAGAACUGUAGCUGCUGGCCUAUGUGACAGCCACAGCAGGGAGGGAUCCUUAACCUACUGAGCAAGGCCAGGGAUCAAACCUGCGUCCACAUGGAUACUACAACGGGAACUCCUAAUUUUAAUAUUUUGAACUUGAAUUUCUUAAUUGAAGGCAUGGAAAUUUGGAAAUAAAUCUCAAUAUAUUCUAUGCCUUCUUUGAUUUUUAAAUGAUUUGACAUAUACACAUUUAUGUUUCUUAAUUAUAUUUAGACAUAGACAUAUAAAUAUGUUUUUUUAAAAAGAUUCAACUACAAGACACAUACUUUAGAUUCAAAGACAUAUAAAUAGGUUGAAAGAAAAGGAUGGAAGGAAGAUAUGGUAUGCAAAAGAGAACUGCAAGUAGCUAUGCUAAUUUUAGACAGAUUUCAAGAUAAAAAAUUGUUACUAGAGACAAAGAAGGACAUUUUCUAAAGAUAUGAUUCAGUUCAUUGAGAAGAUAUACCAAUUAUACAUGUACCUUAUAACAGCCACAAAAUAUAUGACACAAAACUGACAGAAUUAUAGGGAAAUAUACAAUUCAACAAUAAUCAUUGGAGUCCAUAAUGUCCCACUUUCAGCAAUGGAUAGAGCAACUGGAUACUAGCAACUAGAAUACUAGCAAGGAAGUAGAAAUUUUUAGCAAUACUCUAAACUAACUAGAUCUAACAAACAUCUAUAGAAUACUUACCAAACAGCAAAAUAUACAUUCUUCUCAAGUGCAAUGGAACAUUUUUUUGAAAGAGACCAAAUGCUAAACUAUUAAGUCUUAAUAGAUUUAAAAGAUUCAAAUCACACAAAGUUAGUUCUCUGACCACCAUGGAUUGAUUUAGACAUCAAUAACAGGAAGAAAUUUGGGAAACACAAAUAUAUGGAAAUUUACACACAUAAAUAGCAAAUGGGUCAAAGAUAACAAUCACAUUGUAAAAUAGGAAAUACUUUGAGACAAAUGAAAAGAAAAACACAACAAAACCUAAGGAUUACAUCAAAAAGAGUUCUUAGAGGAAGAUUUAUAGUUAUAAAUGCCUAAUUUAAAAGGGUAGAUGAUGUCAGAUCAAUAGUAGAAAAUAAAACUAAAAACUGGUUCUUUGGAAAGAUCAACAAAAUUGA